rnacentral:lncRNA from 1 species
AUGGCGUCUUACGGCCGGAGCGAGUCUCCGCCUCGGGGGUCGUGGGGCUACGGCGACCACGACAUCGACGCCCGUCCCCGGCGCAAGCGGUCCUUCCCGGAAGAGGAGGAGGAGGAAGUCGGGUGGGGAGGGGUUGGGCCCCCCACCUGGAGGCCCUCGGAGAGAAGGGCGUCGCGGGAAAGGCCCCGGGCGACCUCCGGGCGGGACGGGAGGACGGGCCGGGGAGGGCCUUGGCCGGAAAGUAGGGGGGUGGAAGAGAGGGAGGGGGGAAAGGAGGUGGAGGUCCGAGGAGGGGGCAGGUCCCGGUCCCCUUGGGGGGGGCCUCGGAGGGAGCCCCUCCCCGCUCGGGAGGGCGGGAUGGGACCCUGGGAGCCCCCCCAAGGGAGGGCCCGGAGCAGGAGCCCCCCUCGGGGGUCAGACUCCGGCUGGAGAGGCCCUUCCCCUAGCGGCACCCGGGAGAGGGCGUGGCGCAGCCCCGCCGCCUCCUCCAGGAGCAGCCUCCUCUUCCCCGUCUCAGGAAGGGGGGAGGCGGAGAGAAGCAGCAGGUGGGGGGCCAGCCCCGGGAGGGAGGGGGGGGCCUGGGCCAAAGGGCAGCCGAGGAGCUGCCAGGAGGAGGAGGAAGGGCGGCAGUGGCAGCAUCAGAAACAGCAGCAGCAGAAGCAGCAGCAUCUCUCCAGUGGAAGGAUGAUGGGCGGACGCCACGUGGAGAGGUCCAGCAGCAGCACCAGCAGCUUCCGGAGCAGGGGAGCCCCAGGGGGGGAGGCGAGACAGGAUCGGGGCCAGGAGUGGAGCUACCUUGAGAAGGACCAGCACCCGAGGAGGAGGGGUGGAAGCGCAGAGAGGCGGAGGGCUCCUGAGGGAAGUCAAGGAGGUUUCCCCACCUUUCCUGGAGAGGAAGGGAGUUGGCGCAAUCCCAGCAGAGAAAGGGGCCAAGGGGGUCCUGCUGGAGUCCGACGGCCCUGGGGAAGCCACGCGCAGGCAGAGGUCCUGGAGGAUCCUGCCAGCUCCAGCCUCCCAAGCCAGCUGGGUUGGGACCAGGGCGAAAGCACAUGGGACAGCCCAGAGCGGAGAGGAAAGGAGCCUGAGAGCUGGACUGGAGGCGAACGCCUUGGGAUGCCUCCAAACCCCGACGAAGACCUGGAAGACUCAGAGGGUCCCUCCAGUUUCCGAGAAGAAUGGAGCCCCAAGGAAGGCCGGACCAUUACAGAGAGCUUCCCAGGAGAAUUGGGUGGCCGUCGGGAUCAUCCCAAAAUUGCCCCUGUCUCUUGGGUCCCGCGGGAGGAGGUGGUGGAUUUCUGGAACCAAUGCCAGUCUAUUUUGAAGAAGAGGGUGAGGGAAUACCUCCUGUCCACCUGUCCAAGGCCUGCCUUGCCAGACCGGUCCUCGGAGACCCCUGAACUGAACACCAACCUCCUCAGCUUGCUGAAUGCGAAACAAGUAAAAACCAUUUCCCGCGCCACUUCUCAGAUCCGCUUUAUCCAGGACGAGGUGCUGAACAUGUUGGCGCCCGCCAUGACCAUCUACGAGAUGGCCGAGGAAGCUGUCGAGAAGGGGGAGGCGGUGGAUCCGCUGGAGCUGCGCGAGUGGAUUCGGCGCGUCAUCCGCUACAUCGGGAGCAUCAACCAGAGGCUGCUGGUUCUGCGCCGCUCAGAGGUCCUCGCGACCAUCAACCCCCGCCUCAGGAGUGUGUCAACGGAAAUGACUGGGCGCAGUGCCGGCGGAAUGCUCUUUCCAGAAGACAAAGUGAAACUUCUGAAGGAGAUCAUCCGGAAGUUCCCACAGUUGGCCCAAGGACCGAGCCUGAAUCCCAAAAACCUCCAUCCAGGCCCCAGACCUAACUACGUGCGUCGGAAACCACGCCUUUCCAAGUUGGGCCCUCGCCUCCAGGAUGGUGGUGGUCAGCACAUGUCAGCCAGCUGGCGAGAAGACCACGACUGAGGAAGGAAAGGCUGCCUUCCGGCUGCACUCUUCCCGGGACCCCAGGAGGUGCACGAUGGCCAUGGUGGCCUCACUCCUGACUUCUGUGUCUGCUACUGGAUCUUAACGGCCUUCUUGUUGUUAAACGGAUCAUGGCCUUGGGAGGACCCUGCAUGCCGUCGUUCUUUUGGCUACUGGGGUGCUCCCAUCUCACCCGUGUCGUCUUUGCCCGUUGGAGAAGCCGGAAGAGAACCUGCUGAAAACAACAGAGACAUCUUAUUUUGGGGGGUGCCGAUGGGUUCCUUCUUCAUCCACCUCACUUUCUCCCCGAGGCAACGUCUCCUGCCUCCAGGGACUUUUUGAUCUCCAGCGAUGGCUCUUUGGGCAAGUAUGGGCCACCCCUUUCCUCCCGACACCUGUGAGCCGGUGGCUUAACGAGGCCCGCGAAGUGCCGUUGUUCAAAGGAUGUUUGGCAGGAUGGGAAGCCCAGCGUGUUCGUGGACCGACCUCCUUUUUCUGUCCCUUUCCACUCUCCCUACUCACCGCUUCAUCUUCUGUUUCAUAGUGACCGUUCAAUAAAGGUUGUUUAGGUGUUAUUAUCUUUCUGUCU